rnacentral:rRNA from 1 species
CCUACGGGGGACAGCAGUGGGGAAUAUUGCGCAAUGGGCGAAAGCCUGACGCCGCGACGCCGCGUGAGGGAUGAAGGUCUUCGGAUCGUAAACCUCUGUCAGCAUGGAAGAACGGUCACUGUGCUAAUCAGCAGUGAAUUGACGGUACCUGCAAAGAAAGCACCGGCUAACUCCGUGCCAGCCGCCGCGGUAAUACGGAGGGUGCGAGCGUUCAUCGGAAUUACUGGGGGUAAAGCGCUCGUAGGCGGUAUGUCAAGUCAAGGGUGAAAUCCCCGCGCGCAACGUGGGAACUGCCUUUGAAACUGGCAAACUGGAGUGUGUGAGAGGAUAGUGGAAUUCCAGGUGUAGGAGUGAAAUCCGUAGAUAUCUGGAGGAACAUCAGUGGCGAAGGCGACUAUCUGGCACAUAACUGACGCUGAGGAGCGAAAGCGUGGGUAGCAAACAGGAUUAGAUACCCUAGUAGUC